rnacentral:misc_RNA from 1 species
UUAAGUUCAGCGGGUAUCCCUACCUGAUCCGAGGUCAACCGAAAGAGACAAUUAGGGGUUGUCUGGCAGGCACCGCCAAGUUUCCAGAGCGAGAGAUGUACUACGCUUGGAGCCUGCGACGGCACCGCCACUGAUUUUAAGACCGGCCAUCACGGCCAGGCCCAAGACAAGCAGAGCUUGAGGGUUGAAAUGACGCUCGA